GAUUCUGGCUCAGGAUGAACGCUAGCUACAGGCUUAACACAUGCAUGUCGAGGGGCAGCAUGAAGUUUGCUUGCAAACUUGAUGGCGACCGGCGCGCGGGUGAGUAACGCGUAUCCAACCUUCCCCUUAGUAGAGGAUAGCCCGGCGAAAGUCGGAUUAAUACUCUAUGUUGUGUUUUUGAGGACAUCUGACGAACACCAAAGGUUCACCGCUAAGGGAUGGGGAUGCGUCUGAUUAGCUUGUUGGCGGGGUAACGGCCCACCAAGGCGACGAUCAGUAGGGGUUCUGAGAGGAAGGUCCCCCACAUUGGUACUGAGACACGGACCAAACUCCUACGGGAGGCAGCAGUGAGGAAUAUUGGUCAAUGGGCGAGAGCCUGAACCAGCCAAGUAGCGUGCAAGGAAGACUGCCCUAUGGGUUGUAAACUGCUUUUAUCAGGGAAUAAAGUUCGGCACGUGUGCUGUUUUGUAUGUACCUGAUGAAUAAGGACCGGCUAAUUCCGUGCCAGCCGCGGC
rnacentral:rRNA from 1 species